UACCUGGUUGAUCCUGCCAGUAGUCAUAUGCUUGUCUCAAAGAUUAAGCCAUGCAAGUCUAAGUACGAGCUCUCGUACAGUGAAACUGCGAAUGGCUCAUUAGAUCAGUUAUGGUUCAUUUGAUCGUACAGUUUACUUGGAUAACUGUGGUAAUUCUAGAGCUAAUACAUGCGAGAAGCGCCGACCUCGCGGGAGGCGUGCAUUUAUCAGACCAAAAACCGGCCGCGUCUUCGGGCGCGUUCGCCUUGGUGACUCUGGAUACCUUUGCGGAUCGCACGGUCUAGCACCGGCGACGGAUCAUUCAAGUGUCUGCCCUAUCAACUUUCGUCGGUACGGUAUUUGCCUACCGAGGUUCUUACGGGUGACGGGGAAUCAGGGUUCGAUUCCGGAGAGGGAGCCUGAGAAACGGCUACCACAUCCAAGGAAGGCAGCAGGCGCGCAAAUUACCCAUUCCCGACGCGGGGAGGUAGUGACGAAAAAUAACAAUGCAGGACUCGUUCGAGGCCCUGUAAUUGGAAUGAGUACACUUUAAAAGCUUUAACGAGUAUCCAUUGGAGGGCAAGUCUGGUGCCAGCAGCCGCGGUAAUUCCAGCUCCAAAAGUAUAUAUUUAAGUUGUUGCGGUUAAAAAGCUCGUAGUUGGAUUUUGGGCGCAGGCGGCCGGUCCGUCGCAAGGCGUGUACUGGACGUCCUGGCCUUCCCUCCGGUUCUCCGCCGGUGCUCUUGACUGAGUGUCGGCGGCGGCCGGAACGUUUACUUUGAAAAAAUUAGAGUGUUCAAAGCAGGCUCUCGAGCCUGGAUAAUGGUGCAUGGAAUAAUGGAAUAGGACCUCGGUUCUAUUUUGUUGGUUUUCGGAGCGCGAGGUAAUGAUUAAGAGGGACAGACGGGGGCAUUCGUACUGUGCCGUUAGAGGUGAAAUUCUUGGAUCGGCGCAAGACGAACGAC
rnacentral:ncRNA from 1 species